rnacentral:misc_RNA from 1 species
GAUGAAGAACGCAGCUAAAUGCGAUAAGUAAUGUGAAUUGCAGAAUUCAGUGAAUCAUCGAAUCUUUGAACGCACAUUGCGCCCCUUGGUAUUCCGAGGGGCAUGCCUGUUCGAGCGUCAUUAUAACCCUCAAGCUCAGCUUGGUGUUGGGGCCUGCUGCACUGGCAGCCCUUAAAAUCAGUGGCGGCGCCAUCUGGCUCUAAGCGUAGUAAUUCUUCUCGCUAUGGAGUCCUGGUGGAUGCUUGCCAUCAACCCCCAAUUUUUCUAUGGUUGACCUCGGAUCAGGUAGGGAUACCCGCUGAACUUAAGCAUAUCAAUAAGCGGAGGA